rnacentral:sRNA from 1 species
GCGGAGGAAAAGAAACCAACAGGGAUUGCCCUAGUAACGGCGAGUGAAGCGGCAACAGCUCAAAUUUGAAAUCUGGCUCUUUUAGAGUCCGAGUUGUAAUUUGCAGAGGGCGCUUUGGCGUUGGCAGCGGUCCAAGUUCCUUGGAACAGGACGUCACAGAGGGUGAGAAUCCCGUACGUGGUCGCUAACCUUCGCCGUGUAAAGCCCCUUCGACGAGUCGAGUUGUUUGGGAAUGCAGCUCUAAAUGGGAGGUAAAUUUCUUCUAAAGCUAAAUACUGGCCAGAGACCGAUAGCGCACAAGUAGAGUGAUCGAAAGAUGAAAAGCACUUUGGAAAGAGAGUCAAAUAGCACGUGAAAUUGUUGAAAGGGAAGCGCUUGCAGCCAGACUUGCCUGUAGUUGCUCAUCCGGGCUUUUGCCCGGUGCACUCUUCUGCGGGCAGGCCAGCAUCAGUUUGGGCGGUUGGAUAAAGGUCUCUGUCAUGUACCUCUCUUCGGGGAGGCCUUAUAGGGGAGACGUCAUGCAACCAGCCUGGACUGAGGUCCGCGCAUCUGCUAGGAUGCUGGCGUAAUGGCUGUAAGCGGCCCGUCUUGAAACACGGACCAAGGAGUCUAACAUCUAUGCGAGUGUUUGGGUGUCAAGCCCGAGCGCGUAAUGAAAGUGAACGGAGGUGGGAACCCUUUAGGGUGCACCAUCGACCGAUCCUGAUGUCUUCGGAUGGAUUUGAGUAAGAGCAUGGCUGUUGGGACCCGAAAGAUGGUGAACUAUGCUUGAAUAGGGUGAAGCCAGAGGAAACUCUGGUGGAGGCUCGCAGCGGUUCUGACGUGCAAAUCGAUCGUCAAAUUUGGGCAUAGGGGCGAAAGACUAAUCGAACUAUCUAGUAGCUGGUUCCUGCGA